rnacentral:lncRNA from 1 species
ACAAAUAGAGCUCUGUUAUUAAUGUUGAGUGUAUAAAAAUUAAAUUAUACAAAAUAUAUGUCAUUAAUUUUAAAAAAAAUCUUAAUCUAUUUUAAACGUUUUUCAUACAUUUGUUUAGAAACAAUACGACCUCUCUAUUAUGUAGGAAAUCCUUCUAACAAGGGAGUGGCAAUAAUUCUAACAAUAUUGAUGAUAUGAUAAUUCAAUGUUUGAAAAUGGCAAAAUAUCAUAUCAGACCAUCGUACAAAACUAAGAAUCGUAUUUUGCACAACCGUUUUGGUUUUCAACGAAGCAGGGAAUCCGUCUAUUGACUGCUGCUUGCAGCAUUUUCUUUCCUGAAAACUCGCAAUUGUUCCUUGAAUUCUUUGCUCUUUUCAAAGUUGGCCUUUCUCUUCACAACUUUCUGUUUGAACACAGAUAAUUGUUACAUGCCACAGGAAAACCAGAUCAAAGCAAAGAACUUUAAAACAAAAAAUAAGGAAAAGAUAAUAAAAACUGAAAACCUCACUUCUGUUCUGAAGCAACGAUCCAAUUUUAUUUUCAAAUCUGUACAUUAGCCAAAGAAUUUUGCAAUAGGGUGUUCCACAUGACACUUUUGAAACUCCUCAAUAAUCUACAUGAAAGCAUAGCCUGAACCAAAGUAUGCUAUAAUAUAAUACACUUGUUCAUAUUUGCUGGACCAUAUAGGAUAACUUUCAUUACCAGAAGAAUAAGAUAAAUGAUCUAAACUUCUAAACUGAGUAAAUUCACAAAUUAACUCUAAAGUUCACUAUGAUCUGCCAAUAUUUAUAUUGCAACAAUAUUUCUAACAGUAUAAAUCAUAAGCAUCUCCACAUUUAACGACAUUUACCGCUGGAGAUUGAACUCAAAAUGUGAAACAAAUAAUCAUGUUUACUACUAGGGAUUUGACUAAUCGAACUUCAGGAGUCCAAUUGUCAGUGAAAAUAGAAAUAAUAUCAUUGAUAGUACAAAGAUCAAUUUGAAUAUUGAUGACAGAAUCAAGACACUCCCAAAAUUUCCCUUUCUACAUGCAAUGAAAAAACAAAUGGUUACAAAUUUAUAAUAGAACAAGGACACUCCCAAAACCAUCUCUUGUGAGCUUGGUCUAAACUCAUAUAUGGUCCCCGAAAGUCCCACCUGCUAGAUCUUGCAUUGGUUGGAGAUGUAUCCAUAACUGAAUACCUACAAACUACGACCUUAAACAACAUGGUUGCACAUGUGGUAUCUAUCUCUAGCCUCGGCUAUGAAGCAAACUAAAUUUCUAACCAUUUCAUUGGUAUUUUUUUACCACAUAUUCAACUACUAAUAGCCAUUAAUAUCACAUGACAUUAACAUAGAAAUAUAUCAAAUUGAUCAUAAGAAACAAGCACAUUAUUAAGAAUAACAAUGAGAUCAUAAACACUUCUAAUAACAAAGAAUUAACCAUUAAAAUAGUGAUAAAUCAAACUCACUUCAGCGCACAUAGGGUGUUUGUGCAAUGUUAAAGGAGGAUGCAUCUUCUCUCAAACAACCAAAUCAAUCAGCAACACCUUCUCCUGCAAUUCAACCACCAACAUCUAUCAUGAAAACUUCUAUAAACCAAAAAGUUGGAAUUGACAAGAUAAAAUCCAUUGAAAAAGAACUAGGGCUUGAAAUCUAGAGCAGUAAAAGAUUAGAAUAUAAGAAGGAGAAAAAAAUGGAAUCGAUUAAAGUGAAAAUCAACGGAAAAAUCGAAAGUAAAACUCAUAAUUAAAAUUCUCGUAAGGAGUAGAAUAUUAGAAGUGAGACGAAAAUGAACUUACGAGAUAUAAAAUAGCGAUAGAGGGAAGGGUUAAGGCAGAGUUUUAGAAGGCGAUGCUGGCCGUGAGGGUCCUGGAAAAGAUGGAAGAACGAAAACAGUAUAUCCCUGAAAUCAAAUUUUUCUUUUUUUUACUUUUAUUUUUAUGGUUUUUUUAAAGAAAAACUUAAUUUUAAAUUUUUAAACAAUUUUUGUU